UCAUAACUCAGGACCUCAUCCAAAAAAGCUUGCCGGAAAGUAUUAUUUGGUUCCUUAAUUCUGUAUAAGUACUCAAGAUCUAUCCAACGAAUAACUGAUAUGGAACUAAACACACGCCCGCACGAGUUCUCACAUAUUUCCCCCGUAUAAGUCCCGACGUCCUCGUCCGGCUAAAACUUCAAAUCCAUAUAAAUCUAAUCACAAGCAUCACGAUCAGCACGUGGUCAGCCCCAACAAAUUCGUGCUAUAGUACCCCUUCGUCCACAUAGCUUAUGAGCUGGAUCCGCUCUGAUAUUAUUUAUGUGAGGACCUGUGCGGGUGUGUGUUUAGUUCCAUAUCGGUUAUUUGCUGGGUAAAUCUUGGAUACUUAUACAAUAUCAAGAAACACAAACAAUACUUUCCGUCUAGCCUUUUUGGGUGAGGUCUUGAGUUGUGACAAUAUGGUAUCAGAGCAAUAGGUUUAAUUGUGGGUAAAACUUAAAAGUUUAGCAAUGGGUAGUUAGGUCUCGUUUAGUUAGGUUCCGCAUAGUUGAAUAAGAAAAG
rnacentral:lncRNA from 1 species